UUUUAUUUCUCUCAGUAGUUCAUAUGCAAAUAAUAAACUCUCAAAGCAUUUUGAAAACACAAAAGACAUUAUUAUACCUUACUAAAAAAUUAUUUCUGUCCCAGGGGAUUAAAUUAAAAUGUUACCAAUAUUUAAAAAUUCAUUUAUAAGUAACUUGAGGUGAGGAAUUCAUAGGUUUCUUCGUUCAAUGUUUUGUACAUGCCAUUCGUACAAUAAAAUUUCUUAAUAUUUAGGGCACUGUCAAUAACUAUCAUUCAUAUGAAAAAUAUAUAUAUCAGAUUCCUGAUUAAGUCAGUUGUAAAAUACAAAAUACAGCACACUUGCUAUGAAAUUCUGUUUGUAAUGUUCCUUUUCACAAACUGCAAUUAACUACUGAUGAAUUCUGUUUAAUCCUAGAAGUUUUAUAAAUGAUACUUUUCUUCACAGAAAAAAAAGAAAGAUGUUGAAAAGACAG